rnacentral:rRNA from 1 species
UAAAAUGAGAGUUUGAUCCUGGCUCAGGAUAAACGCUGGCGGCAUGCCUAAUACAUGCAAGUCGAACGGAGGUGCUUGCACCUCAGUGGCGAACGGGUGAGUAACACGUAUCUAAUCUACCUUCUAGCGGGGGAUAACUUUUGGAAACGAAAGGUAAUACCGCAUGUGGAUGUUAUUAUCGCAUGAGAAAACAUUCAAAGAUCCGUUUGGAUCACUAGAAGAUGAGGAUGCGGCGUAUUAGCUAGUAGGCGGGGUAAAGGCCCACCUAGGCGAUGAUACGUAGCCGAACUGAGAGGUUGAUCGGCCACAUUGGGACUGAGAUACGGCCCAGACUCCUACGGGAGGCAGCAGUAGGGAAUUUUUCACAAUGGACGAAAGUCUGAUGAAGCAAUGCCGCGUGAGUGAUGACGGCCUUCGGGUUGUAAAGCUCUGUUGUAAGGGAAGAAAACAUAGGAGAGGAAAUGCUCUUAUCUUGACGGUACCUUACCAGAAAGCCACGGCUAACUAUGUGCCAGCAGCCGCGGUAAUACAUAGGUGGCAAGCGUUAUCCGGAUUUAUUGGGCGUAUAGGGUGCGUAGGCGGUUUCGCAAGUUUGAGGUUAAAGCCCGGAGCUCAACUCCGGUUCGCCUUGAAAACUGCGGGACUAGAAUAUCAGAGAGGUAAGCGGAAUUCCAUGUGUAGCGGUAAAAUGCGUAGAUAUAUGGAAGAACACCAGUGGCGAAAGCGGCUUACUGGCUGAUUAUUGACGCUGAGGCACGAAAGCGUGGGGAGCAAAUAGGAUUAGAUACCCUAGUAGUCCACGCCGUAAACGUUGAGUACUAAGUAUUGGGGAUUACCUCAGUGCUGCAGCUAACGCAUUAAGUACUCCGCCUGAGUAGUAUGCUCGCAAGAGUGAAACUCAAAGGAAUUGACGGGGACCCGCACAAGUGGUGGAGCAUGUGGUUUAAUUCGAAGCAACACGAAGAACCUUACCAGGGCUUGACAUACAGUGCAAAGCUACAGAGAUGUAGUGGAGGUUAACAUUGAUACAGGUGGUGCAUGGUUGUCGUCAGUUCGUGCCGUGAGGUGUUGGGUUAAGUCCCGCAACGAACGCAACCCUUGUCGUUAGUUACUAACAUUAAGUUGAGGACUCUAACGAGACUGCUAGUGUAAGCUAGAGGAAGGUGGGGAUGACGUCAAAUCAUCAUGCCCCUUAUGUCCUGGGCUACACACGUGCUACAAUGGCCGAUACAAAGAGUCGCAAUCUCGUGAGGGGGAGCUAAUCUCAAAAAGUCGGUCUCAGUUCGGAUUGAAGUCUGCAACUCGACUUCAUGAAGCCGGAAUCACUAGUAAUCGCGAAUCAGCUAUGUCGCGGUGAAUACGUUCUCGGGUCUUGUACACACCGCCCGUCAAACCACGAGAGUUGGUAAUACCAGAAGUACGUUUCCUAACCGUAAGGAAGGCGCGUCCCAAGGUAGGACUAGCGAUUGGGGUUAAGUCGUAACAAGGUAUCCGUACGGGAACGUGCGGAUGGAUCACCUCCUUU